rnacentral:tRNA from 1 species
GUCAGGAUGGCCGAGUGGUCUAAGGCGCCAGACUCAAUGUAUCAAUCUUUAAAGCGAGUGUUCUGGUCCACGCAUGUGGGCGUGGCUUCAAAUCCCACUUCUGACA